GCCCUGUGGAAAAGCCCUGUUACUGGUUCAAAGAAUUACCACAGAGGAAGAGAGACAACAAACAGAAUCCUGGUUCCACAAAAUCACCUCAGCACAAACAUUCACAGCUAGUUAUUGUAAAAAUAAUAAUAAAAAAAGAUAAGAAAUUCACCAUAAAUCUGUUUUCCAAUCAGUUUUGAUGGAGGGUGAAAUUUAACCAUAUGCUUGCUGAGUGCUUCCGAUCUUAUGCCCUACUGUGACAGUAACUAAACAUGACCUUUGCUCAGCUGAGGGAGUUCUGAGGAGACCGUUUCAGUAAGUGUACUCAUGUCUUUCCAAAGAGUUUUGCAACAAUAUCAAAAAAAGGUGUUACAGCAGUUAGUUAUGCGAACUAUUGGCAGGGUUCGACUUAUUUGCAUCAAUCAGCAUUGGCCUUUAGCAACUUUUCAGCAGAGAUCCAACACCAGAGCUCUGAAUAUUGUGUGUGGGUACGAAUGUGACCUGCCAUUACACACACAGUGUCUACUGGCUAAUUUCUCUGGGUGUAGCAUUCAGUGUCUGUGGGCAAAAGUUACACUCUACUAACUCCAGCUCACUACAAACAAGAUUCUUUACAUCCACUAUGAAUAACAUGUUGACUGUGCACAAUAUCUAGAAUCUAUUAUCUUUUGCUGUGACGGAGUAUUAGGGCCACAAGUGACCAAACAAAUUGAGAUUUUGAGAAUACAGUUGUACCAUUUUAAGAAAAAAAAAACAACAUUUUAUACGUUCUCGAUUUAUGACAAACUAUGAAAAUAAA